rnacentral:rRNA from 1 species
GACGAACGCUGGCGGCGUGCCUAAUACAUGCAAGUUGAGCGCUGAAGGUUGGUACUUGUACCAACUGGAUGAGCAGCGAACGGGUGAGUAACGCGUGGGGAAUCUGCCUUUGAGCGGGGGACAACAUUUGGAAACGAAUGCUAAUACCGCAUAAAAACUUUAAACACAAGGUUUAAGUUUGAAAGAUGCAAUUGCAUCACUCAAAGAUGAUCCCGCGUUGUAUUAGCUAGUUGGCGAGGUAAAGGCUCACCAAGGCGAUGAUACAUAGCCGACCUGAGAGGGUGAUCGGCCACAUUGGGACUGAGACACGGCCCAAACUCCUACGGGAGGCAGCAGUAGGGAAUCUUCGGCAAGGGACGAAAGUCUGACCGAGCAACGCCGCGUGAGUGAAGAAGGUUUUCGGAUCGUAAAACUCUGUUGGUAGAGAAGAACGUUGGUGAGAGUGGAAAGCUCAUCAAGUGACGGUAACUACCCAGAAAGGGACGGCUAACUACGUG